rnacentral:rRNA from 1 species
GGUCCUGGGUAUAAUACCCGAUAGGUCUCGAUUGCUGGAAUGCAUCGAGAUUUAAAGCUCCGGCGCCUAAGGAUGGGGCUGCGGCCGAUCAGGCUGUUGGUGAGGUAAUGGCUCACCAAACCUUUGACCGGUACGGGCCAUGAGAGUGGUAGCCCGGAGAUGGACACUGAGACAAGGGUCCAGGCCCUAAGGGGCGCAGCAACCGCGAAACCUCCACAAUGCACUCACGUGCGAUGGGGCUAUCUCGAGUGCUACCUGAUGAAGGUGGCUUUUCCUUGGUCUAAAAAGCCUUGGGAAUAAGAGGAGGGCAAGACUGGUGUCAGCCGCCGCGGUAACACCAGCCCCUCGAGUGGUGGGGAUGAUUAUUUGGCCUAAAGCGUCCGUAGCCGGCCGUGUAAGUCUUCCGUUAAAUCCGGCGUCUCAAGCGUUGGACCGCGGGAGAUACUGUAUGGCUAGAGAGUGGGAGAGGUCAGCGGUAUUCUGGGGGUAGGGGCGAAAUCCUUUGAUCCCCGGAGGACCACCAGUGGCGAAGGCUGCUGACUAGAACACGUCUGACGGUCAGGGACGAAAGCUAGGGGCACGAACCGGAUUAGAUACCCGGGUAGUCCUAGCCGUAAACGAUACUCGCUAGGUGUCGGCCACGGUGCGACCGUUGUCGGUGCCGUAGGGAAGCCGUGAAGCGAGCCACCUGGGAAGUACGGCCGCAAGGCUGAAACUUAAAGGAAUUGGCGGGGGAGCACAAU